GUACACUCCUGCGGGAGGCAGCAGUGGGGAAUUUUGGACAAUGGGCGAAAGCCUGAUCCAGCAAUGCCGCGUGAGUGAAGAAGGCCUUCGGGUUGUAAAGCUCUUUUGUCAGGGAAGAAACGGUGAAAGCUAAUAUCUUUUGCUAAUGACGGUACCUGAAGAAUAAGCACCGGCUAACUACGUGCCAGCAGCCGCGGUAAUACGUAGGGUGCAAGCGUUAAUCGGAAUUACUGGGCGUAAAGCGUGCGCAGGCGGUUUUGUAAGUCUGAUGUGAAAUCCCCGGGCUCAACCUGGGAAGUGCAUUGGAGACUGCAAGGCUAGAAUCUGGCAGAGGGGGGUAGAAUUCCACGUGUAGCAGUGAAAUGCGUAGAUAUGUGGAGGAACACCGAUGGCGAAGGCAGCCCCCUGGGUCAAGAUUGACGCUCAUGCACGAAAGCGUGGGGAGCAAACAGGAUUAGAAACCCUGGUAGUCCCAUGA
rnacentral:rRNA from 1 species